rnacentral:sRNA from 3 species
AUAUCUCUCUGUACGGGAAGGAUGAGAAGCUUCGACUAAGGUUCGAUUCGAGCGUCAGCGAGAAAGCGUUGCCGCAGGCAA